rnacentral:sRNA from 1 species
UCAAGCGGCAGCCACGCUUCUGUAGGUGCAU